UGCAUGCCUAAGUACAAACUUUGAUACAGUGAAACCGCGAAUGGCUCAUUAAAUCAGUUAUGGUUCCUUAGAUCGUUCUGUUUACUUGGAUAACUGUGGGAAUUCUAGAGCUAAUACAUGCAGAAACGCCCUGACCCUCUGGGGAUGGGCGCAGUUACUUGUUCAGACCAACCACAGCGCGAGUUGUGACUUUUGUGAUGAUUCUGGAUAACCUCGAGCGAAUCGCAUGACUUCAUGUCGGCGAUGUAUCUAUCGAAUGUCUGACCUAUCAACUUUCGAUGGUAGGUGAUAUGCCUACCAUGGUUUUAACGGGUAACGGAGAAUCAGGGUUCGACUCCGGAGAGGGAGCAUGAGAAACGGCUACCACUUCUACGGAAGGCAGCAGGCGCGCAAAUUACCCAAUGUCGGAGUGACGAGGUAGUGACGAAAAAUAACAAUACGGGACUCUUUCGAGGCCCCGUAAUUGGAAUGAGUACAUUUCAAAUCUCUUAACGAGGAUCUAUUGGAGGGCAAGUCUGGUGCCAGCAGCCGCGGUAAUUCCAGCUUCAAUAGCGUAUAUUAAAGUUGUUGCAGUUAAAAAGCUCGUAGUUGGAUCUCAGGCUUAGGCAGGCGGUCCGCCUAGCGGUGGCACUGUCUGACCCGGCCUACCUCCCGGUAUGCUCUUGGUGCCCUUGAUUGGGUGUCUGGAGUGUCUGGAACGUUUACUUUGAAAAAAUGAAAGUGCUUAAAGCAAGCGUGUGCCUGUAUAUCUCAGCAUGGAAUAAUGGAAUAGGACCUCGGUUUUAUUUUGUUGGUUUAUGGGCUCGAGGUAAUGAUUAAGAGGGACUGNNNNNNNNNNGGAGUGGAGCCUGCGGCUUAAUUUGACUCAACACGGGAAAACUCACCCGGCCCGGACACUAGGAGGAUUGACAGAUUGAGAGCUCUUUCUUGAUUUAGUGGGUAGUGGUGCAUGGCCGUUCUUAGUUGGUGGAGCGAUUUGUCUGGUUAAUUCCGAUAACGAACGAGACUCUGGCCUAUUAAAUAGUUUACUGAUCUUGUGUUGUCAGUGCGAACUUCUUAGAGGGACAAGUGGCUUUUAGCCACACGAGAUUGAGCAAUAACAGGUCUGUGAUGCCCUUAGAUGUUCGGGGCCGCACGCGCGCUACACUGAAGGGAUCAGCAUGUGUCUACCCUGCGCCGAAAGGUGUGGGUAACCCGUUGAACCCCCUUCGUGCUUGGGAUUGUGGCUUGUAAUUUUCCCACAUGAACGAGGAAUUCCCAGUAAGCGCCAGUCAUAAGCUGGCGUUGAUUACGUCCCUGCCCUUUGUACACACCGCCCGUCGCUACUACCGAUUGAAUGGUUUAGUGAGAUCUUGGGAUCGGUCGCUAAGGGACAUCCCUAAGCGAUUGAGAAGAUGAUCGAACUUGAUCAUUUAGAGGAAGUAAAAGUCGUAACAAGGUUUCUGUAGGUGAACCUGC
rnacentral:rRNA from 1 species